rnacentral:rRNA from 1 species
AUGUUGCAUGCGUCAAGCACAUCGCCGCUGACCGCAACAGAGCAGUUGCGCCGCCACUCCGUGGCUGCUGGGUUUGUAGAAGCACCGUUGUUGCGGAAAACUUGUUGCAGGAAAACUGAGCUCGAGGAGGCGGAGCCAAUGGCUGUCUAUGCCGGUGCUCCCCGAGCAGCGGGACGACGAUGGACGCAGAUGCUGGUGCUCCGAGGAUGGCAAACGCGGCUCGAGAUCUUGUUUGAGAUGCGGCGGAGGAGGAACUUGGGCAGGAUGGAGGCAGGAGAAGAAGAGGAGGGGCAUGGCUGA